CUGGCCGCCCGGCCUGACCCAACCGGGUUGGCAUAUAAUGGUGGGGAAACCCUUCACUCCCCAAACCCUAGCCUUCUCUCUCUCCAGCCACCACCAUCGCCGCCGCCUCCACCAUCAGCCACCAUCUCUUCUCCUCUCCGUUCUCCGGCGGCUAGCCACCGCCACUGCCAUCGACGCCCGAGGCCUCUCUGGCCAUCACCGCCCGACACGCUGAGGCCCUACCAUCGCCUCGGUCGCCACCGUGAAGCGUCACAACCAUCGAAUCUCCGCCGGUUCUGCUGUUUUGGGCCACUGCCUCUUCAUCUUCUAUGCCCUUUCUGUCCAGGUGAAAUCUGAGAUACCAGUGGUUGUUAUAUAUCUGUAGUCUCCUUUUGAAGGUAACUUCUCCAGCAGGUUGAAUGGAUAGACAAGCUCAUGAUUAUGCUGCAGCAAUGGCAUUUGCUCAGCAGCAGCAGCAACAAGCAGCUAAUAUUCAACAGCAGCAACAAUUUGGUCUUCAUCCACAACAUCAACAAUUCCCUCCAGUUCAUGGCCCUCCUUUUGUACCACCACAUCCUUCUCUCCAACAGUACCCUUUCCCUCGCCACAUGCAACAACCACACCAACUUCACCCUCAUCCUCAGGCCCAUCCUCACCUUCUUCAUCUUCAGCAGCAACAGCAGCCUCCACCUUCUUUUCCUCCGCACAUGCCUCCUCAUCUCGUUCCUUCACCUUUCCUUGGUCCAUAUGAUUCACCUCCGCUCCCUGCUGCACCCCCAUCUGAUCCCGAGCUCCAAAAACGUAUUGAUAAACUUGUUGAAUAUGCUGCAAAAAAUGGCCCUGAAUUUGAAGUCAUGAUCCGUGAAAAACAACAAGACAAUCCUGCCUAUAGUUUCCUUUUUGGUGGUGAGGGGCAUAAUUACUACCGUUACAAGCUUUGGAUAUCUACACGACCCCCAGGUGGGCCCUUCAAUUCACCUUUUCCCCCAUCAUCUAUGCCUAUGAUGCAUCCUUCAAAUCCUAUGCUGAGCCCAUCACCUUUAAAUGCUCCUUCACUGGGUGGACCUCAAAUGCACCAAUCUCCAUUUCCACCAACCUUUUAUGAGCAGCAGCAGCUCCAUUCUCAACCUUUUGUUGGACAUGGUCGACCAGAUUAUGAUCAGUCUUCUAGGCCAUUCAAGGGCCUCUCUGGACCUCUUCCUUCUGAUGUUGCAAUGGAGCUGAAUAAUGUGCUUAACAAUCUCACUGGUACCAAAGAGUCAAUCAAAGGUGCCAAGAUCUGGUUUAUGCAGAGGUCUCCUUUUGCACCAGCUCUGGCUGAGGCACUCAGGGACAAGGUGUUUACAGUUGAUGAUUCUGAGAGGCAGCUGCAUGUAAUUUACCUUGCCAAUGACAUUCUGUUUGACAGCUUGCAGCGUAGGAUCAACCUCCGCGAACUUGAUAACGAGGCACUUGCAUUUAGGCCUGUGUUAGGCUCAAUGCUUGCAAGGAUUUACCACAACCCUCUAAACAAGGAGGAAAAUCAGUCACGAUUGCAGAAAAUCUUACAAUUCUGGGCAUCUAAGGAAGUAUAUGAUCCCGACACUAUUCGUGCACUUGAGAAUGAGAUGAUUGGUGGAUCACCGGCUAACUUGUUUCCAGGAACUUCCAAGGAUAAUUUACCUGCUGCUUCAACUGAUCGCUUGACUGCAGGACUGCCUCAGCAGGCCUCGCAGUGGCAGACUGACAAGCCAGGAUCACUGCCAAAUUUUCCUGAUAAAGAGCAUCUUGAUAAACAAGUCCCUCCUGUACCGUCCAUUCCAUCAUCCCUAGCAGCCCAGCCCUUCCUACCAAGUUCGGUAUCUACUGGUUCUUUUGCCGGGUCCCUGCCCAUGACAUCUGUUCCACCAGCAAAUCAACAGGCUCCAUCCCAUUUAUUGCCAACACCAACUACCAAUACUGGUGAAAAAUUGCCUCCAUAUCCUUUAUUCCCACCAGGCCUUAUUCCUGGGAUGGUUAGAAAGAUGCAAAUUGGCAGCGGGGUGCCUUACUCUCCCAUGAGCCCUCUGGAUAUCCCGACUGUAAUACCACCUUCGAAUGUCUCUCCAUCAGAAAUUCUUGAGAGGGUGUCAAAAUUCUUUAAGGAGAUUGGAGAGGUUAACCCUUCUGAAGGACCCAUGACAAAGUCUGAAACAAAUGAUGAAUACGACAAUUAUGAAAGAGAGUCUCCUGUACGCAAGGGAGGGGCUUGCAUCCCUCCACCCGCUAACCUGCAGGUGGACAAGGAGACGGGUACUUAUGCUGAUGGGAGCGUAGGAUCAAGCGGCUCCGGGCGCUUGGGCCUUGGGGCCACAGCCAAUCCAAAUGAGAGUUCAAAUGGAUGCCUAUGCGAAUUUGCAGUAAUAAGAAAGUUGCCGGUUUCUUAUUGUUUUUCAUUCCUUUGCGUCUCCUCGGUGGUGGUUAUAUUUAUCAUUUUCUCCCGUAGCCUACGCAGGUCAAUUGGAUAUUCCUUUGUAUCUCUACAGUGUUUGACUGAGCUUCAAAUUUUUGUUUUAAUUUUUUUUCAAGUUUGGUUUUUAUUUUUCAUGCUUAGUUUAUUUAUUUUUUAAAUAAAAACGUAAUAUCAAACUCCAUUUUGUUGUUUUAAUAUUUUUUUUAACCUUUUGGUCUUUCUCCUCCCUUGUCCUGUCCUACAACUGCCUUAGUAUUUUGAAGUAUUUGCCAAAAAUAUCUUACCUUUUUGGAACUUAUUUUCAAAAUUAUCACCUUUCUGAAAUUAUUCUCAAAAUACCACAUUCCCUGUUACCCUGGAUGAGGGGAUCCAGUGUGGCAUAAAUAAAAUCAAUGGAGGCUCCAGUGGUUCCAUGUCCUUUUAUUACCUUCAGCCACACAGGUGACAGGUGUUCUUUCACACAAUAACUUGAAAGAACAAUGCAGCCAGCCCAAUCGGGGCGAGAGUGAACCGUUAAUGCAAGAAGUGACUCUCCCUGCAAAAAAUCUGCUUCUGGCAUUAGCGGUUUAUUUUAAGUUGAAAUGACGUCGUACCCAUGUCUUCGAAUACAUAAUAUAAGCCUUCCUUUACGUCAUUUAGCACUUGGCCUUUCAUUCAAACAAACCUAUAGCCGCUACUCUGACAACGUGUUCUCCGAUGGAAGUUUUCUUCUUUGCAUUCCGACAAACUCAGCCUCAGGAUUGGGCAACAACUGGGGAUCAUUGCUCGGAAGCCAAUAGGCCUUAUCAAAACAACUGGCUCGAGGAUCGGCCUGUACGCCUCCGCGUCCGUGUCUAAGCUGAAGCGUGAAUCCACAUAUUGCUUCCAAUCUAUAGUUCUUGUUCUUGCAUGUUGCUGUGACAACAUGGGUAUUUGAACAGUUGCCUUUUCUGGCAAGUGCAGGUCCGCUCCUUGAUCCUCACUUGAUGUUGGUGACCUGACCGCGUGCAGGUUGGAUUUGCUUUCAUACCCUGCCAACUUCAGUUUCACUGUAUGUAGGCCCCCACUUGUGGCUUCCUUACUUUUCACUCGCACCGUCACAAUAUCUAGUUUCCAAGUAAGAGACUGACUUGUAUAAGCGUGGUUCAGGGCUCUUACCCCUUUCAAAAUUGAAUUAAACACAUGCUCCUGUCCAUGUUCGGUAGAUCACCUAGACUUGGCGUCGAGCUUGUGCACUUCAUUGUCCAUAGUUGCAUCUUUAAAGUCCACUUUCAAUCCCUUACUUUUAUUAGAAGUGAUGGUAGAGGUUUUUAGCUAAGUGGCAAAUGCGCUACCUCUGGUGUCCUUGUGGGUCCCUCCAUCCAUUUGAUGGGUUAUCAACUGCACUAAGUAUACCGGCGUGCUUAUUUAAUAUCAAACAUACCCCAGGUCAGUCCUUGACAACAUGGGAUCAUAGGUGAGAAAGGAGCCACCCCACCCCGGGCUAUUGGUGUUUCUCCCUCUGCAACAUAUGCAAGUGGGAACGAAUGACCGCCAUCAUUAACCCCCAUAGCACUAACAAUGCUCCCCUGCUCCUUGCAUACAAAUGUGUCCCUGAUCAUUUGUUAACACCAUUCUCAGUUGCUAAUAGACAAACUAAAGGUCCAAAACAUACAAGAGAAUACUUGCUGCCGCUCCUGGCACUGGAUUGCAUCUUCUUUGUAAGUCAUACACAGUCUUGACAUUAGAUCCGACAAUGGCUCUCAUAAACGGAAUUAACUCAGUGUGUGCCUUCUCCUUGUCAUCGACAUCAUAUUGACGGCUCUGUAAUUCACAUCUCAAGCCUUUUUGUAGGGAAUCAGAUAUUUGUACUUCUCAACAAUAUGUUGUUGCAACAUUAUAAUGGACAUAUUCAAGUCAUUUUGAAUUAAAUCCUUAACCACUUAGUCAAUGAAAAUAAUGCUCAACUGUCGGCGGGCCUUAUCCAUGUUUACAUUCAUAAAAGUAUGGGGUCCUCAACCUUUGCAAUCUCCCAAAUCCAAUGACCUAAGUGCGCAAGGUACGACAUCCUUAAUCUCUAAAGAGUUCCUAUCAGACAACUUGCAUUUGAUAGACCAACCUUUGAAGCACGAAAAUGGUUUGGAGAUGUCGUUUUGG